UUAAUUAUUUGAUUUCCUUUAAGAAUGCAUACAAUUCCAUGUUUUCUGAAUCAAUUUCUUUUGAAGCUUUUAUUGUCUGAUUGAAACUUUAAACUUCUUAAAAGAUUCGUCGUUGAUUUCAUUAUAGUGUUUAUUUAUUGUCUAUCUAAAAUGUAAUUCCAAAGUUCUAGAAAGUCGGGCACGGAACUUUUAGAACUAGACAACUAUUGUCAAGCAAUGGGCAUGGGAAUAGUUGUAAUGUUAGUAGGAUACCACAUAUAAGGCUCCUUCUAGUCCAUUCUGUUCGUAAGUUCUUGUGAUAUGACAAUGCACAAUAUUUUGCUUUUUACUUACAUGAGGCCCUACAAUAUUACAUAGCUUGGUUGGUUUGUCUUUUUUUUCCCUUAAUGGGGAUGGGGUGGGAUGCGGUGGGGUGAGGGCUGUGGUGUAGUACUCUUGUUUUAAUUCAAUAUUGUUUCAAAGUUAAAUUUAAAAUCUGUAAGGUCAUGUGAUUUCUGAUAUUACUGUUAGCCGCUCAGCGUGCAGUGUCUCAACACUCAAUA